CACUUGAUACAGGUCCGAAAAGUCAGUUUAAGUAACACUAAUCGUUUGUUCGUAAUUGUUCGUCAGAAAUAGUCCCACCUUUUAGAAAAUGUAACUUUUUUGCUUUAAAUUGAUUAAUUAAUAUUCAGUAUCGUACAUUCGACGAUCAUUUACAUUUGUUCGAUUGUAAGUAAUGUUUAAUUACAAUUUUAUCAAUACAUAUUUUUAUUGAAUUUUUUAUUGAUAUUACUAAUACGCGUGUGCGUGUCGAAAAUAUGCAUUUUAUCACGUCACCUAUUAGAAAUUACCAUAGAAAUUAUAAAUCUGUAAUCUAUUGUUCUUCAUUUAUGUUGAGGUGCAUUGAAGUUUGAGGUUAUACGUCUAAUGGCGUUUGCUAAAGACAUUUACGCACUGUUCUUAAUUCAAUGCUGUUAAUAUGCCCAUUCAAUAAAAAUAUUUAAAAAAUGUAAUUAAACAUUAUUUAUCAUUGAACAAACCAUACUGAAUAUUGAUUGAUCGAUUUAAAGAAAAAAGUUAUUUUUUCUACAAGGACGGAUAAGUUGACAGUGAAAAUUUGUUUAAUUUUUUAUAAAUAAACGAAAGACGAACAAACGAUUAAUACUGAUAAACAAUUACGAACAAACUAUUAGAGCCAAUAAGAAAAAGUAAAAAAAGUUCUUGGACGGUUUAACUUUUCGGGCUUACUUGAUACCCGACUUAUAUAUCUUAUCUAUGUGCACAUAUAACAUUUAAACAUUUAAUACAUUUGAAACAUUAAUCAGGGUAUGAAAUGCAGGGUAUGAAAUGUCGAGCGCGAGCGACACCUAAGUUUACCCCACGUAAGUUUUUAAAUUUUUUAAAUUGCCAAAAUCGACAUUACCGACAUACUAGGCGACAUACAUUUUACUGAAACGACAACAGAUGAUGCGACGGCGGUUGCGAUUAUCGGAGGAAUUCCCCAGUAGUUGUGGCGUUAUUGAGCAAUAGUGAGUAGUUUCACAACUUGUUAUAUUUUAAAAUUUUUGUGAAAAGUACUUUUACCUAUCCUGAAAAAAAACCGUGAUGUACAGUCUACACUAUUACGGGGUCAAAUUAAUUUGAAAUGUUCUACCUAGAUUAUACAGUUCCUGCAGGAGUUAAAGGUGAAGAAGCCGCUUUCCAUUUUCCUGAAGUAACAGCGGUUCCAACGAAAGUGGCAGAACUUCUUCUAAUAGAGGAAUAGAAGCAGACGGAAUUGCCCCAUUAAAAGAUGAAAAAGUACUGCAUCCAGUGAAAACAUAUGACGGGAAAAGAAGAAUUGUUUCAACUGCAGAAAGUACACUC